CAUCGUCGUCGAUGUGAACUCUCUAACGAUAUUACGCUGUUAUCCCCGUGGUAACUUUUAUUCGUUGAUCGUUAACUAUUCCACUCUAAAUUAACGGGUCAUUAUGGCCCACCCCACCGCCGCCCUUCGGGCGGGCUUAGGGGUGUCUGCUCGGGGUGUCCCCCUCGCAGUCAGGCUUCAGUCAUUAAUUGCGCACCUUAAGCGCACCUUCGUUACUCUUUAAAAGGCGGUCGCCCCAACCAAACUGUCCUACUUACACUCUCCCCCCCAAGGGGGGGUUAGCCCCUUUGACAUGGGGGAGUGGGGUUUCAUCUGCCCCGGCGGGGGGCUGCCACAUAGUCUAAACCACCCAUUUAAAUUCGGCCGGUUCCCGGACACGGGAAGGCCGGGGCCGUGUAAGUGCCCCAGUAAAGCUCAACGGGGUCUUUUCGUCUAACAAAUUGGACGUAGCAUCUUCACUACGAAUUCAAUUUCACUGGGAAUUUCCUUAAGACAGUGGGGCCUUCGUGGCGCCAUUCAUACUGGCCAACAAUUAAUUGGCUAUUGAUU
rnacentral:rRNA from 2 species